GAUGAACGCUGGCGGCGUGCCUAAUACAUGCAAGUCGAGCGACGCGGGGGGGGGGGAGUAAAACGUGGAUAACCUCCUCUAAGACUGGGGUAACUUCGUGGAACCGGAGCUAAACCGGAUACUUCUACAUGGAUCCGCGCUGCAUUAGCUAGUUGGUAAGGUAACGGCUUACCAAGGCAACGAUGCAUAGCUGACCUGAGAGGGUGAGCGGCCACACUGGAACUGAGACACGGUCCAGACUCCUACGGGAGGCAGCAGUAGGGAAUCUUCCGCAAUGGGCGAAAGCCUGACGGAGCAACGCCGCGUGAGUGAUGAAGGUCUUCGGAUCGUAAAAUUCUGUUGUUAGGGAAGCGGUAUCUAACCAGAAAGCCACGGCUAACUACGUGCCAGCAGCCGCGGUAAUAC
rnacentral:rRNA from 1 species